rnacentral:rRNA from 1 species
AUGUACUUGUCGGCGAUCUCCAUGAGGAUCGCGGCGAGUCGGUGGGGCGUGGAGAACAUGGGCAUGUGGUCGGCCCCCUCGACGGCCACCACCUCCACGCCGGGGCACCGCGACGCCAUCCGGCGCUGCGACUCCGCCGCCCACGUCGCGUCCUCCUCGGUGACCACGCACGCGCGCCUCACCGCGCCGUACCUGUCGGCGGUCAGGACGCUCUCCGUCAUCGCCGCGUCGUCGAGGAACCACCGCGCCGGCCUCACCAGCGCCGUCGCCAGCGCCAGGUCCUCGGGCGGGCUUCGCUGGUACAGACGCCGCGACAGGCGUUCGGGGCCCAGGAGAAACGUUUCCGCCCCGCCGGUCACCGCGGGCACGCUGUCCGUGGCGGCGUCCGGCGCCGUUUCCUCCAUGAUCUGGAAGGAAAUGGCAAAGAAGAUUCAAAGAUUGUCACCGAUCGUGUGGAUGGAUCACAGCAAUUGA